rnacentral:lncRNA from 1 species
AAACCUAAAUGAGAAAGGUGGGGUAGAUGAAAAAGUGAUGAUGGAACUUGGCCUGUUAGGUUGUUAGAGGAAAGUGCUAAAUAUUCCAAUUUGAUUAAAUUUCCAUAAACAAUUGGGAUGCUACCGCUAAAGUUAUUAUUUGCAAGAUUACAAUCAAUGAGGUGUUUGAGGUUUGAAAGUAAUGGUGAGAUCUCACCGUUAAGUUUAUUAUUUGAAAGAUCCAAAUAUGUUAGUUGAGUGAGGUUCCACAAAGAUAGAGGAACCAUCCCAUCAAAAUUGCACCAUGAAAAAUCUAAUCGAGUAAGAUACUUCAAUUGACCUAUGGAAUAAGGAAUUUCACCUGAGAAAGCAGUGUAAGAGAGGUCUAAGUACCUUAGAGGAGUGCUCCAGUUGGACUUUGGAAGUUGACCACUAAGGUUUUGAUUAAAUGACAAAUCCAAUCUUUGAAGAUUAGGUAAAGAGAGGAUGUCACUUGAUAUAUUUCCUUGCAACACAGUGUUUCGUAGACUAAGAGAAACCAAAGAGGAUGACAAAUUCUUUAGCAUUGACAAUGAGCUCUCUCCGAUUGAAGACAUGUUCACUCCAUUAAGAUGAAGAUCCCUUAAAUUAGUAGCAUUAUGAAUGAGUUUCUUCCAAAUGAAUGAAUUGAGUUUCAAUCCCACUUGUUCGUACCAGUAACUGCUAAGAUCAAGUGAUACUAAUUUUGACAAAUGAGAGAUUGUGGAAGGAAUAUUACCAUUGAGGUAACAAUUUGAUAGAUUUAGAUGUGUGAGUUUCACUAAAUCUCCGACACCAAUAGGUAUUGAAGACCAAGAAAAAUUAUUAAAAGCCAAAUUAAGUUGUUGAAGGCGUCUAAGCUGGAAGAUAGUGCUAUUGGGAUGUAAUUCACCUUUCAAAUUGUUGCAACUGAGGUCCAAACCAAUCACGUAAUCCGACUCAGUGUCACACGUGACACCAUCCCACUUGCAACAAUCUGUAUUGUUUUUCCAAGAUUCUGUCCUGGAAGAAAAAGAGGAACAUCUAGACCAAAUAUCAGGUUGAGACGAAGUGUUAACUGAAAAUGAGUUUUUGAAUUGUAACAAGGCAGAACUGUCAUGAUGGUUGCAUAAUGAGAGUGUGUAGGAAGUAAAAUGAGUAAGCAACAACAACAAGAAAAAGUGAAAGGCAAAAUAAGGCAAUAGAAUAAAAAAGGACCCCAUUUAGAGCAACUUACACCGAUUCUCUCCCUCUUCUCAAUAGUUUCUUUUUUUACUUUGAUGAUUUACGUAGGAUAUACCAAUUGAUUAGCCUCUAUUUAUAUAGGAAACAUAACCUGAAACUACGGGGAAAGGACCAAAAAGUUUGACUUAUUAGAUUGUUUACAAAUUGAGUCUAAGUAUUCCCUUAUUUUGUUGACCGUAUAGUGAUAUGACAAUUGGCAACAAUAUUAACAAUCAUACAAAAGUUUGGUGUUCGUUAAACUAAAUAACAUCUUGGAAGACCAAGACUUUUUUAACGUAAUUAAUUAGCACUAAAGUUGGAAUCUUAUUGCAAGUUGUGAUAAGAUAACAAAUUCAUUUAGGCUUAAUACCAUUUUCGCCCUCUAACUUUCAUAAAAUUGCGAUUUUGAUCCCCAAAAAAAAAAUUAUAAAACUGCCCCUUAAGUUUUGCAACCGUAGAAUUUUUGGCCCCAAAAAGUUUGAGUUAUUAGAUUGUUUACAAACAUUGAGUCUAGGUAUUCCCUUAUUUUGUGUUGGGGGUGCUUUUCAUAACCGUAUACUGAUAUGACAUUUGGCAACAAUAUUAAUUCAGUAACAAUCAUAGAAAAGUUUGGUGUUCAUUAAACUAAAUAACAUCUUGGAAAACCAAGACUUUUCGAACGUAAUUAGCACUAAAGUUGGAAUCUUAUUGCAAGUUGUGAUAAUAAGAUAACAAAUUCAUUUAAGUAGCAAUCAGAAUGAGUAAUUUGCUUAAAAAUACACCUAAAAUGAAGAAAAUAAUAACAACAUUAAUUGUAUUUAGCAACGGAGACUUAGACUUCUUCAACUGAACAGACUUUAAAGAGCGUUCAAGGUGGAUUACUCUUAGCAAGGAUAUUUUAAUUUAUAUGCUACAUCCGUCCUUAAAUAUAAGACUAUUUUAUAGGGAUAGCAAUUGAACCCAAACCUAAUUAACACCCACAAAAAAUACAUAUGAUGGGCGGGUAAAUACCCGCAUUGUUGGGUAUGGGCAUGGGCACGGGUAUGGGUGCGGGUACGGGCACUCUAUUGCCCACCCCGCCCAUCCCCGCACACUAUAUAGACUAUACCAAUAAUUUUAUUGAUAUUAAAUUUAGUUAAUUAAACCUAAGUCUUAGAUAUUUAUUGUAAUAUGCACUUGUUUUUUAUAUUUUAGAUGUUUUUUAUUUGACUAAAUAAUAUUAUGCCUAAUAUUUUAUUUGUUGAUUUAGUAGAUUUCAUAUCAUUAAUUACGUUGUGAUACUUUUUGUUAUUUAUUACUCCCUCCGGUCCUAUUUACAAGAGACAGUUGACUUUUUAGAUACAUUGAAUAAUGUAUGUAUCUAGUCAAGAACCUAAACCAAAUACAUAAAUUAUUCAAUGUAUCUAAAAAGUAAAUUGUCUCUUGUAAAUAGGACCGGAUGUAGUAUCUUUUUAUUGUGAAAAGUGCAGGUAAUGAGUACAGGUACGGGCACUUAGAUACCCAUAGGGUAUGGGGACGGGCACCAAACUUAUUUUCCACUAGGGUAUGGGCUCGGGUAUGGGGAUUUUCUUAAAACGCGGGUAUGAGGAUGGGCACUAUGGUGUACCCUGCCCAAUGAGUACCCAUUGCCAUCCCUACCCUUUUGAGAAAAAAUUGUUUCUUUUUAUAAGACUCCUUUGAUAUUUCCGAGUACAUUAAUUAAUUCUUUACCAACAUAUCCCUAUUUAUUUUAUAUCAUUUUCUUCAAUCAGCAUUAAAUACUAUAUUGAAAACAUAUACUAAUUUUCUCUCUUAAAGGAUAAAAUUGUAAAAACAAUGGUGAUUACAAACAAAUUUAUUAUCACCUUCAAUUUUCUUAAUUCCCGUUAUUUUUUCAAAAGUGCCAUAUAAUUAGAGACGGAGGUAACACAUGUUUUUUUUUUAUGGUUCUUACCUUAACAACAAAAAAUUCUGUACUAAAAGUUUAUUAUAAGAAAGAGAAAUGAUAUUUGAACAUCCAUUUGGUGACAAUUAUUGUGAUAACUUUCUCUCUCAUACUCACAUUAUUUUUUACCUUAUCUCUCUAUUGCUAUGGUUUCCGUGCCAAUACUACUUUUUCUUUGUAAAUUAUGGUUGUCAAAUAGGUUGUCAACAAAUUAGUUGUUUAAAUAACACUCCUCUAUAAGAAAAUGCACUGAGCACAUAAAAAGAAAACAUAUUAAGUGUCAUCGGAUAUUGAUACUCUACUCGUGAGUUCUACCGUAGACCACUUUUAUAAGUGGUUCAUCAUGCACCGGUACUUAAAAUUAUAAAAAUAAAAAAAAAAUCAAUGAUGACGGACGAUACUAUUUAGAAAUAAAAACUUAUGAUGUUUUUUAUAUUUACGAUUAAGAUGGUGACUUGAUUGAUGUUUAAGAACGAGCUACAAAUAAUUUUACAUUCUCCCCCAUAAAAUUUAACAUGGUUGCAUUCCCAUAACUGAAUUCAAACUCACGACAUCCGGUUAAGCUGGAAGAUAUCACUUUCAUCUUACUCAAAUAAUCUUUGGGUUAUUUUCCCUUGUUAUCAAACUAAUACUCACUCCUUCCCCCAAAUUAUAAGUCAUUUUGGAGUACAAUAUGUGUUUUUUCUAAUUUAUUUUGACAAAAUAGGUAGUUGAUUUUAUCACCAUAAUUGUUUACAUAAAUUUAUCUUCCUCAUACAUCAUAUUUUUCUUUGAGCUGGAAUUAGAAUUAAUGUAGAUAAUUCCGUUUACGAAUAGGAAAAAUUAUUUAUAUAACUUGAAAUAGGAAAAAUAAUAAUUUUAAAAGAUAUAAGACUACUCUGUCAAAAAAAAAAAAAAAAGAUAUAAGACUACAUUACUCAAAGAGAAGUUCAAAGUACAAGCAACCGUAUCUAUAUUUUUUAAAGACUUGCAUCAAAUUAAUUCAUUCUCGGCGAUUUGCACAGUCUAAGAAGCCAUUGAGGUUUUCCAGUGAAGAAGAAUACAUUAUAUCCCAAGAGCAACCCGAAUAUUGCCCCACAUGCAUAUCCUAUUGCUACCGCUUUCCAGCCAAAUCCUGACUCUUCAUCUUCAGAUGUUGAAUGAGGUGGAAGAUCUUCCUCAUUUUUGCAUGAUUUAGACAAUUGGAAUCCACACAACAUUGUAUUUCCUUCAUAGGAAUUAUUUCCAAAUGUAUCAAACUGUUGGCCUGUAGGUAUGAUUCCCUCAAGGUGGUUUUGUGAAAGAUUCAAGAAUGAGAGGAAAUUCAAAUUUGUCAAAGCCGCGGGAAUCUCACCCGUCAAACGGUUCCUGGAGAGGUCCAACCACUCCAAGUUUCUUAGAUUACUCAAAGAUUGUGGAAUGCUACCUGUGAUUCCAUUGUUUGAAAGGUUAAGUCCUUUAAGAGAAUAUAAUUCUCCAAUGACUUGUGGAAUUCUACCUUCAAACAUGUUAUUUGAUAAAUCAAUAGUUGUGAAAGUCGUCAAUAUCCUUUUUAGCUCCAUGAAAAAACCUUUCACUAUGACCACCACAGAAUCAUUGUAGUAACCGUUACGCAUGUAUUGCAGAUCAGUUUUUUUGUCAUUUACAUUAAUCAUUCCUUGAAAGUUCUUGAUGCAUGAUGUUGGCAAGGGGCCACUAAAAUUGUUGUUAGAGGCAUCAAAAAUUCUCAACUUAGGAAAUGAAUGCUUGGUGCUAGAACAAGUGAUUGCACCAUGAAGAUGAUUUGAUCGUAAACUCAGCACCUGUAACUCUGGUAAAGUUUCUAGCCAAUUGGGAAAUGUAUCCUCUAUGUUGUUGUCACCAAGGUCCAAUACUUCAAGAUUUGAACAUUGAGCCAAAGACUGCGGUAAUGGUCCUUCCAAUUGGUUGCCAUUCAACUUUAUAGUCUCAAAUGCAUUUCCUUUGGAGAAGGUUCUAGGAAUGCUUCCAUAGAGGUUGUUCAUUUGCAUAUCCAAAAUAGAGAGAUGAGGAAAUGUUCCCAGACAUUGUGGAAUCAUACCUGUCAAAUUGUUGUGAGCCAAAUUGAGAAUGUAAAGGGAACUUGCAUUGCAGAAUGUUGAAGAGAUAUUUCCUGUGAAGUUGUUGUUUGAGAGUAAAAAGUGUACAAUGCCAUGAGGUGGAAUUGGAAGAUGUCCUUGCAACAUUUUGAAACUCAGGUUAAUGUGUAUAAUGUCCUUCCAUGAGUUUAAGAGUUUCUUAUGAAACCAUUUGGGAAUUUUCCCAUGAAUGUAGUUAUUGGAGAGAUCUAAUGUUUGCAGAUUUUGUGCUUGGAAUUUAGGAAAACUAUUAAUAUUAGCAGACGAGAAAUCUAAGUCAACAAGGUUGGGUAAGAUGGAGUCAGCACUGCUAUCAAUGUUGAUAGAAAUAAAACUAUUGUGUGAAAGAAUGAGGGAAUUUAGUUUUUUUAAUUUUGAAAAUUGGUGAAAAUCCACGACACCACUCAAGUUUGUUGACGACAAAUCUAAGUUGGUAAGAUUUUGGAGUUCAUAUAUUGAAUUUGGAAAAUGACCAUGUAGGUUGUUACUAGAGAGAUCCAAAGAUUGCAAAGAAUAUGUUGAGAACUCACCAAUGAACCCUGUGAGGUGGUUGUCGCCGAGGACCAACCCUAACAACGAAGGCAAAGAAUAACACCAAUGUGGAAUUGUUCCAUUUAACAUGUUAUCCCUCAAACCCACAUAGCUCAAUUUUGAACGUUUUGUGAUUUCAAUUGGAAUUGGCCCAACUAGUUUGUUAAAUGAUAAACCUAAAAUAAAAAGGUGAGGUAGAUGAAAAAGUGAUGAUGGAACUUGGCCUGUUAGCUUGUUAGAGGAAAGUGAUAAAUAUUCCAAUUUGUUUAAAUUUCCAUAAACAAUUGGGAUGCCUCCGCUAAAGUUAUUAUAUGCAAGAUUACAAUGAAUGAGGUGUUUGAGGUUUGAAAGUAAUGGUGAGAUCUCACCGUUAAGUUUAUUAAAUGAAAGGUCCAAAUAUGUUAGUUGGGUG